rnacentral:rRNA from 1 species
AUAACACUUGGAAACAGGUGCUAAUACCGCAUAACCAUAGUUACCGCAUGGUAACUAUGUAAAAGGUGGCUAUGCUACCGCUUUUGGAUGGGCCCGCGGCGCAUUAGCUAGUUGGUGGGGUAAAGGCUUACCAAGGCAAUGAUGCGUAGCCGAACUGAGAGGUUGAUCGGCCACAUUGGGACUGAGACACGGCCCAAACUCCUACGGGAGGCAGCAGUAGGGAAUCUUCCACAAUGGGCGAAAGCCUGAUGGAGCAACGCCGCGUGGGUGAAGAAGGUCUUCGGAUCGUAAAACCCUGUUGUUAGAGAAGAAAGUGCGUGAGAGUAACUGUUCACGUUUCGACGGUAUCUAACCAGAAAGCCACGGCUAACUACGUGCCAGCAGCCGCGGUAAUACGUAGGUGGCAAGCGUUAUCCGGAUUUAUUGGGCGUAAAGGGAACGCAGGCGGUCUUUUAAGUCUGAUGUGAAAGCCUUCGGCUUAACCGGAGUAGUGCAUUGGAAACUGGGAGACUUGAGUGCAGAAGAGGAGAGUGGAACUCCAUGUGUAGCGGUGAAAUGCGUAGAUAUAUGGAAGAACACCAGUGGCGAAAGCGGCUCUCUGGUCUGUAACUGACGCUGAGGUUCGAAAGCGUGGGUAGCAAACAGGAUUAGAUACCCUGGUAGUCCACGCCGUAAACGAUGAAUGCUAAGUGUUGGAGGGUUUCCGCCCUUCAGUG